rnacentral:rRNA from 1 species
AUUGAACGCUGGCGGCAGGCUUAACACAUGCAAGUCGAGCGAGCGGCGGACGGGUGAGUAAUGUCUGGGAAACUGCCUGCUGGAGGGGGAUAACUACUGGAAACGGUAGCUAAUACCGCAUACCAUCAGAUGUGCCCAGAUGGGAUUAGCUAGUGGGGGGGGUAAUGGCUCACCUAGGCGACGCUCCCUAGCUGGUCUGAGAGGAUGACGGGCAACACUGGAACGGGGACACGGCCCAGACUCCUACGGGAGGCAGCAGUGGGGAAUAUUGCAAAAUGGGCGCAAGCCUGAUGCAGCCAGGCCGCGUGUGUGAAGAAGGCCUUCGGGUUGUAAAGCACUUUCAGCGAGGAGGCGUUACUCGCAGAAGAAGCACCGGCUAACUCCGUGCCAGCAGCCGCGGUAAUUC